AACGAACGCUGGCGGCAGGCUUAACACAUGCAAGUCGAGCGCCCCGCAAGGGGAGUGGCAGACGGGUGAGUAACGCGUGGGAAUCUACCUAGUUCUACGGAACAACAGUUGGAAACGACUGCUAAUACCGUAUACGCCCUAUGGGGGAAAGAUUUAUCGGAAUUAGAUGAGCCCGCGUAAGAUUAGCUAGUUGGUGAGGUAAUGGCUCACCAAGGCGACGAUCUUUAGCUGGUCUGAGAGGAUGAUCAGCCACACUGGGACUGAGACACGGCCCAGACUCCUACGGGAGGCAGCAGUGGGGAAUAUUGGACAAUGGGCGAAAGCCUGAUCCAGCCAUGCCGCGUGAGUGAUGAAGGCCCUAGGGUUGUAAAGCUCUUUCAGUGGGGAAGAUAAUGACGGUACCCACAGAAGAAGCCCCGGCUAACUUCGUGCCAGCAGCCGCCGUAAGAC
rnacentral:rRNA from 1 species